rnacentral:antisense_RNA from 8 species
UGUUAUGGCGGCUGUGCGUGGGAGGCAUUCGUGCCUGCCGGGUUCCUUUUGCCCCGGUUUACCAACCUGCGCACAGCUGCCACCCAU